rnacentral:tRNA from 1 species
UUAAGAUAGACUAUUUUAAGUCUUUAGGUUCAUACCCUAAAUAUAAAACUCAUGUUUUUCUUAAC